AGUGAACGCUGGCGGUAGGCCUAACACAUGCAAGUCGAACGGCAGCACAGUAAGAGCUUGCUCUUACGGGUGGCGAGUGGCGGACGGGUGAGGAAUACAUCGGAAUCUACUUUUUCGUGGGGGAUAACGUAGGGAAACUUACGCUAAUACCGCAUACGACCUACGGGUGAAAGCAGGGGAUCUUCGGACCUUGCGCGAUUGAAUGAGCCGAUGUCGGAUUAGCUAGUUGGCGGGGUAAAGGCCCACCAAGGCGACGAUCCGUAGCUGGUCUGAGAGGAUGAUCAGCCACACUGGAGGUGGGACACGGUCCAGGCGCCUACGGGAGGCAGCAGUGGGGAAUAUGGGACAAUGGGCGCAAGCCUGAUCCAGCCAUACCGCGUGGGUGAAGAAGGCCUUCGGGUUGUAAAGCCCUUUUGUUGGGAAAGAAAAGCAGCAGGUUAAUACCCCGCUGUUCUGACGGUACCCAAAGAAUAAGCACCGGCUAACUUCGUG
rnacentral:rRNA from 1 species